rnacentral:rRNA from 1 species
CUGAUGGUGCGACGCCGCGUGAGGGAUGAAGGCCUUCGGGUUGUAAACCUCUGUCACCGGGGAAGAAACGCUUCAAGUUAACAGCUUGAAGCCUGACUUAACCCGGAGAGGAAGCAGUGGCUAACUCUGUGCCAGCAGCCGCGGUAAUACAGAGACUGCAAGCGUUAUUCGGAUUCACUGGGCGUAAAGGGUGCGCAGGCGGUUGGGUGUGUCAGAUGUGAAAUCCCGAGGCUCAACCUCGGAACUGCGUCUGAAACUACUCGACUAGAGUAUUGGAGAGGGUAACGGAAUUCACGGUGUAGCAGUGAAAUGCGUAGAUAUCGUGAGGAACACCAGAGGCGAAGGCGGUUACCUGGACAAUUACUGACGCUCAGGCACGAAAGCAUGGGGAGCAAAAGGGAUUAGAUACCCCUGUAGUCCAUGCCCUAAACGGUGCACACUAGGUCUUAGCGGAUUCGACCCCACUAGGGCCCAAGCUAACGCGUUAAGUGUGCCGCCUGAGGACUACGGUCGCAAGACUAAAACUCAAAGGAAUUGACGGGGGCCCGCACAAGCGGUGGAGCAUGUGGCUCAAUUCGAUGCAACGCGAAGAACCUUACCAGGCCUUGACAUGCACUAGACCGACUCUGAAAGGAGUCUUCCCUUCGGGGCUGGUGCACAGGUGCUGCAUGGCUGUCGUCAGCUCGUGUCGUGAGAUGUUGCGUUAAGUCGCGCAACGAGCGCAACCCCUGUCCUUAGUUGCCAUCAGGUAAAGCUGGGCACUCUAGGGAGACAAACCCUCUCUGAGGGUGGGAAGGUGGGGAUGACGUCAAGUCAGGAUGGCCCUUACGGCCUGGGCUGCACACGUGCUACAAUGCCCGGUACAGAGGGACGCAGACCGCGAGGUGGAGCAAUCCCAAAAACCGGGCCCAGUUCA